CGCUCGGUAGCUUAGUUCGAAAAGCACUUGUCUAGCGAAUAAGGUUCGUGAGUUCAAAUCUCACCUGAGCUG
rfam:Aedes albopictus isolate Foshan contig91944, whole genome shotgun sequence.